AGUACCUUAUCUAGUGCUGGUUCACCACGGUGGCCACUAGAUGCAGUGGUUUUGGGGUGACGCAAGAGGGAAUCCGGUGAGAAUCCGGAGCUGUCCCGCAGCGGUAAUAGGGAACGAACGGCGAACAGAAGCACUGGCCGAAAAGGGCUGGGAAGCGCGCUAAGUAGGUUUUAGCCCUUAAGUCCGAAUACCUGCCGGCAUAUCGCAAAGAGG
rnacentral:ncRNA from 2 species